CCUCUUCCAUUUCCAUGUCUAACGACAAUCCAAGAACCUACUCUGCAAUGCUCCAAAGCAAAAUCCCACAUCCUUCUAUCUCAAUGUCCUACGAAUGUGCAUCCUCAGAAUCACUCCCUGAAGAGCUUCCUGAAUCUGAAUCGCUGGAUGAGGAAGAUUCAUCACUCGAACUACUAGAGCUGCUAGAACUGCUACUCGCAUGCCCAUUGUCCUUCUCUAUCUCCACAGGAGGAAAAUUGCUCAUUGGCAUCUCAUCACCAAUGUCCACAUCCUCAUC
rnacentral:misc_RNA from 1 species